CCUACGGGAGGCUGCAGUGAGGAAUAUUGGUCAAUGGACGAGAGUCUGAACCAGCCAAGUAGCGUGAAGGAUGACUGCCCUAUGGGUUGUAAACUUCUUUUAUCUGGGAAUAAAAUGUUCCACGUGUGGGUUUUUGUAUGUACCAUAUGAAUAAGGAUCGGCUAACUCCGUGCCAGCAGCCGCGGUAAUACGGAGGAUCCGAGCGUUAUCCGGAUUUAUUGGGUUUAAAGGGAGCGUAGGUGGAUUGUUAAGUCAGUUGUGAAAGUUUGCGGCUCAACCUUAAAAUUGCAGUUGAAACUGGCAGUCUUGAGUACAGUAGAGGUGGGCGGAAGUCGUGGUGUAGCGGUGAAAUGCUUAGAUAUCACGAAGAACUCCGAUUGCGAAGGCAGCUCACUGGACUGCAACUGACACUGAGGCUCGAAAGUGUGGGUAUCAAACAGGAUUAGAUACCCGAGUAGUC
rnacentral:rRNA from 1 species